AGCUCUUCUCCCCUUCUUUUCUGAGACGGGCACCACCGCAUGCGCCCGUCACUGGCUGCCUCGCAGCGGCGUACCGCCGCCAACCAUAGCUUAAGCGGAGGGAAGAUGUACGCCGCAGCUUCUCUCCCGACCUCUAUUGCCAAAUGGAUUUGGGGGAGCCUACACAGGCAAUUUUUCAUGGAGCUGAGAUAUAAUAGAGAUUGAGAUUUGGGGACUAUUCAUUAUAGGGAUUAGAGAUUGGAUUGUGAUCUUCUGGAAGUAUGUGGCAUGAGAGAGAUGAUGCUAGAUUCAAUAGAGCUCAUAUCCAUUGCCAAAUGAAGAAGUUCUUUUAAAAGGAUAUUCUACGGCAUGAGCAUAUCGCUUCCGAUUAGCUUGCGGCGGCCUGUUGUGCUAAGAUUCUCGCUGGAUCCGCUGAAUAUCUUGCGGCAAGGAGGGCACGCGGUGGCGCGGCCGGACGGAGAAGCCGGCACAGUUGAGCUGCCGCGAAGUGAACCAAGGAGCCGACGACCUGCAUGGAGCAGCGCGGCGCAACAAACACAAAGGAGCGGAAGACGGAUUCAUUAGUGCCGCAAGUAGCAGCGCAGGUCUUGGAGGCUUCUACAAUAUCGUAUCUUAGAAGAUUUUCUGAUUCAUUAACUCAUCUGUUGGGUUGUCGUGCCUGAUUCCAAUGUUGCCUUCAAAACAAUUUUAAAAGGAGUGGUUCAUAUGAUAAUGCACUAAUGAAAUUUGGUUAGAAAGAAGUGUUCUAACUAAUGGUCAAUGAAGAGGAAAACAUGGUGUUCAUAAGCAGGUUGUGAAGACAUGCAAGGGCGGAAAGAUCUAAACAGACCUCAAGAUUUCAGUUAUAUAUUACCCAAAAUUGAUGAUGUUUCUAUCGAUUUCUUCUUCCGUCGUUCGAUGUGUUGGGCGUCCUGCCGUAUGUCGCACCUUCGAUUCGUUCCUGGCGUGUGUCGAUAUGUCGUUGUGUGGAUCUCCCUUCUAUCCUCAUACACGUGUUGUUGGUUGCUCUGGCGUCUGUUAAUUCCCUGGAUGUUCUGGUGUGUGUGUCCCAACCUUUAUAUUAGUCCAAAUGUUGUUCAGUUUGAAUUGGACACGGAUGGGUGUCCGCUGAAAACUAUUCUGUGUGCAAUAGUAUACGUCCAUUCGUUGCCUAAUAUGUAUCAAUCCGUUUAGUUUCCUUCA